rnacentral:rRNA from 1 species
UACGAAGGGGGCUAGCGUUGCUCGGAAUCACUGGGCGUAAAGCGCACGUAGGCGGAUUGCUAAGUCAGGGGUGAAAUCCUGGAGCUCAACUCCAGAACUGCCUUUGAUACUGGCGAUCUUGAGUCCGGGAGAGGUGAGUGGAACUGCGAGUGUAGAGGUGAAAUUCGUAGAUAUUCGCAAGAACACCAGUGGCGAAGGCGGCUCACUGGCCCGAUACUGACGCUGAGGCACGAAAGCGUGGG